rnacentral:lncRNA from 1 species
ACAUUCCACAGUGCAAACAGCAGGCAGAGCUUCUCAGAGAGGAGACUAGCAGUUACCUUUGAAGUCUUCCAUGUCAUUUUCACAAUGAUUUGUGACUGGUUCAAGUCCCCCCCCACACUUGUAAGAAGGGGAACAGAGAGACUGGAACCCAGAGGAUCUGAUCCCAAAGCUAUCCUUUCUCUCACUCUCUUGGAUGGUCUCUGUCAUCAGGUUGCUCACAGGCACCAAUAAGGGUGGAAGGGACAAUCUACAGUGCCACAGAGUCUGUUGAUACUGUGCUGUCGCUCAUGCCUCCAGUCCAAGCUUGCUGCAGUGCCACAUCCAUGCAAAGGCUUCCCCUGACUGUGAGUUGGACAACAUGUGUUGGUACCAUGCUCCUGCCCUGCCUGUCCUCAUCUCUGACUCUCUUGAGUGAAGACUUUGAACAUCUUCACGGAUACCUGCAUUGCUGAUUGAUGACCAUUCCCUACACAUCCCACUGUCCUGCUGCACUGGCUGGUCCUGGAGAGACAGACCCCUGAAACAACAGUGAGCUAAAAAAGAAUCAGUGCUACCCUGACCCCGUGGUAUCGUAUGCUUCACAGCACCAUAGCAGGAUUAGCUUGACUUAUGUUAGAACAUAAGUAUGUAUUACAUUUCUUAAAGUGACCUAUUUGAUAAACAGAAUUGCUGAGCAUUUUUGAGGGUAUGCCUAGAGGUGUUAUAAAAACUAUAUCGAGAUAAACAGGGUACUGUGAAUCAAGAAAAUGGAGUGAGCUCUGCCCUCGGGCGAGGCAAGCAUAAGAAAUGUGGCUUAUGGGCCUCCUCCAGUAAUGUCAUCUAAGCCCACCAGUAUUUCUGUGUCUGUCCACUUGUUCACUCUAACAUAUGCUAAGCUCCUACUGUGUGCGAAGUACUGUGUUCAGGGAGCUCAAGGGCAAGGUCCUACCAAACUACUUAGACAAGUACCUGGACAAAAGGUUCCCUCAAAAUUUUAAUGAGCUACACUGACUGAGAAGAACAGAAACAUGGCCAUGGUCCCUCGGCAUGGCUACAGCACCAAAUGGAAAACUGCCAAUGGACAAACAUCUUUACAUUUAGCAUUAACAUGAUUAGUAACUCCAGGCACGAGUCUCAGAGAGCAGUACAGAAAGACUAGCACAAUGACGAUUCUUUCCCUGAGUAGCCCCGAAUGCUGGGAUACAGGGCCCGCAAGACACAUCCUAUGUGAGAGAUCCUCACUUGUCCUUACCCAUGGCUACUCGCCCUCCUCAUAUCACUGAGGCCAUGAGGAAUAGCGAAGAGAAGGCGGCGGUGUGAGUGGGAGAGAGAGAACAGAUCUUUUCAUUAUGGAGUACUAUAAUUGGGAAGUAGAAUCCAACCAGAACGAUCAAACCAAAGACCAAAAAAGAAAAGCUACAUCUGCUCUUCUAAGGGAAACUGAGAAGGGGUCUGGGAGUAUCUGAGGUAGCACUUGGGUUGCAGAACUACUGUGUGGAACACAAAUUGAAGAAGCCCCUGUGAGCCCUUCUCUGACUCCCGGCAGAUACGUGUCUGGCGAGGAGGCAGUCGCCAGUCCCCUUCCUAAUUCUUCUCUUAGAAAAGAGAAACUGUGAAUGGUUAGGUUAAAUUAUUGCUAUGCAUCAACAGUGAUACUAAUACAUCCAUGCUUCACCAUGAGAGGGGAUCGCUGGUAACAAAAGACUCCAGUCAGUGUUACACACAGCUACCAUUCAACACACCUACUCCAUUCCUAAGAAUCUGCCUGAGGAAGUACACCACAUGUCUACUAAAGCCUGGUACAUUGGUAUUUACAGCAACUUUAACUUGGGAUAAUAACAACAGCAGUAACAACAACAACAACAACAAACUCUAGCAGCAACCCAAGUGUUCAUCAACCAAUAUCAUACAUCUAUACAGUAGAACACUAUUCAUCACUUAAAAUGAACUGUGUGUCUAGGUAGUAAUGGAUGAAUCUCAAAAUUAUUAUUCCAAGGAAAAGAAGUCAGACAAAAAGAAACCUAUGCUCUAUAUUUUGAUGUGAACGUGUAUGUGUGCAUGCGUGCGUGCUUGCAUUUUUUUCUCCCUAGGGAGUACCAACUAAUUCAUAAUGAGAGUUAGCUGAUCCAUGUGUGUCUGUGUGGUCGGGAGCAACAUGAAGGAAGAGAGCAAAAAAAGACCACAAAAAAAUAAGAAUUUGUAAGGUGAUGAAUUCAUUCAUUGUCUUUGUUGUGAUUAUGGCUUUCAGAGUGUGUAUGAUGUCAAAAGUAAGAACACUGUACACUUUAAAUAAAUGCUGUUUUCUGAGUUCUCACUGCACCUGUUAGGAAAAUGGUAGUAGAGAAUGUUCUGGAAGGCUGUACGCAAGAAUAUAAAUUGAUGGAUUCCUCUUGGAAAGCAGUUUGGCUUUUCUUUGAUCCUACUUUUAAAUCUGUAUCCUAGAGACAUAAAAUGAGAUACAACAGUUUCACUCCUGGAGCAUUUACAAUGGUGGGGGGGAAAGCGAGGAAAUACUAAUGUAUUUGAUGAAAAAAACCUGUCCCAAUAAAUCAUGGUUCUCACAUAUUGAAAUAUUAUGCAGCCGUUAAAGGCCAUGCUUAUGAGAAGCUUUUAAUAACCUGGGAGAAUACUUAUGUGAUGGUGCCAAGUAGAAAGCACCAAGAUAUAAAUUGUAUAUGUAGUGUGAAUUGAAUUAUGUAAAAUUAUGCACAGAAAAAUCUCUGAAAUAUCUUUGGGAUUAUUUCUGAGUGAUAUAGGGUAUGGGUGAUAUUUUUUAAUCUCUUAAUGCAAAUUUUGAAAUGUCCCUAUUUAAAAUGUAUUUCCUUAAUUUUCUACAAUAAGACUGUAUUUUUAAAUUGUGAAAUAAAUAAGCUAUCUUCAAGG